AAUGAACGCUGGCGGCACGCUUAACACAUGCAAGUCGAACGAGAUCUUCGGAUCUAGUGGCAGACGGGUGCGUAACGCGUGGGAACCUGCCCUUUAGUAAGGAAUAACUUUAGGAAACUGAAGCUAAUACCUUAUAAUCCCUUCGGGGGAAAGCUUUAUGCGCUAAUGGAUGGGCCCGCGUUAGAUUAGCUUGUUGGUGAGGUAAAGGCUCACCAAGGCUACGAUCUAUAGCUGGUCUGAGAGGAUGAUCAGCCACACUGGGACUGAGACACGGCCCAGACUCCUACGGGAGGCAGCAGUGGGGAAUAUUGGACAAUGGGGGAAACCCUGAUCCAGCAAUGCAGCGUGAGUGACGAAGGCCUUAGGGUUGUAAAACUCUUUCAUCGGUGAGGAUAAUGACAGUAGCCGAAGAAGAAGGACCGGCUAAUUCCGUGCCAGCAGCCGCGGUAAUACGGAAGGUCCUAGCGUUGUUCGGAAUUACUGGGCGUAAAGCGCAUGUAGGCGGAACAAAAAGUUAGAAGUGAAAUCCCUGGGCUCAACCUAGGAAUGGCUUUUAAAACUUUUGUUCUGGAAUUCAGGAGAGGAAAAUGGAAUUUCCAGUGUAGAGGUGAAAUUCGUAGAUAUUGGAAGGAACACCAGUGGCGAAGGCGAUUUUCUGGACUGAUAUUGACGCUGAGAUGCGAAGGCAUGGGUAGCAAACGGGAUUAGAUACCCCGGUAGUCCAUGCAGUAAACGAUGGGUGCUAGUCGUCGGACUUUUGUUCGGUGUCGUAGCUAACGCGUUAAGCACCCCGCCUGGGGAGUACGGUCGCAAGAUUAAAACUCAAAUAAAUUGACGGGGACCCGCACAAGCAGUGGAGCAAUGUGGUUUAAUUCGACGCAACGCGAAGAACCUUACCAGCGUUGAACAUGGGAAGUGCCGGUUACAGAAUGGUAACCUUCAGUUCGGC
rnacentral:rRNA from 1 species